rnacentral:rRNA from 1 species
UACGAAGGGGGCUAGCGUUGUUCGGAAUUACUGGGCGUAAAGCGCGCGCAGGCGGUCUUCCAAGUCAGUGGUGAAAGCCCGGAGCUCAACUCCGGAACUGCCAUUGAAACUGUAAGACUUGAGGAUGAGAGAGGUGAGUGGAAUUCCCAGUGUAGCGGUGAAAUGCGUAGAUAUUGGGAGGAACACCAGUGGCGAAGGCGGCUCACUGGACCGGAACUGACGCUGAGGCGCGAAAGCGUGGGGAGCAAACGGG